GCAGUGGCUCUAUCUCAGCUCAUUGCAACCUCUGCCUCCCAAGUUCAAGUGAUUCUUCUGCCUCAGCCUCCCGAGUAGCUGGGAUUACACGACCACCAUGCCCAGCCGGAAAACCAUUGGUACUUGCCCCAGGUAGGAGGAGGAGCAGAGAACAGAAGGUUUCUGUGGAGCUGCGUUAAUCACCAAGGAGAGGCAGAUGGCUCCAAGCCCACAGAGUGUGACCCAGGUCUGCUGGAGUUUGCUCGAGGUCCACUCCAGACCCUGUUUGGGUAUCACCAGUGGAGGCUGCAGAACAGGAAAGAUUGCUGCCUGUUCCUUCCCCUGGAAGCUUCAUCCCAGAGGGGCACCCGCCAGAUGCCAGCCAGAGCUCUCCGAGAUGCCCUGCCCAGAGAGGAGGAAUCUAGAGAGGCAGACUGGAUACAGCAGCUUUGCUGAGCUGUGGUGGGCUCCGCCCAGUUUGAACUUCCUGGAGUCUUCAUGUACACUGUGAAGGGAAAACUACCUACUGAAGCCUCAGUAAUGGUGGACACCACUCCCCACACCAAGCUCAAGUGUCCCAAGUUGACUUCAGACUGCUGUGCUGGCAGUAACAAUUUCAAGCCAGUGGAUCUUAGCUUGCUGGUCUCCAUUGGGGUGGGAUCCCUGAGCUAGACCGCCUGGCUUCCUGACUUCAGACCCCUUUCCAGGGGAGCGAAUGGUUCUGUCUCGCUGGCAUUCCAAGCACCACCGGGGUAUGAAAAAAACUGCAGCUAGCUUGGUGUCUGCCCAAACAGCUGCCCAGUUUUGUGCUUGAAACCCAGGGCCCUGGUGGUGUAGGCACCUGAGGGAAUCUCCUGGUCUGCGGGUUGUGAAGACUAUGGGAAAAGCAUAGUAUCUGGGCCAGAAGGUACUGUUCCUCAUGGUGCAGUCCCUCAUGGCUUCCCUUGGCUAGGGGAGGGAGUUCCCUGACCCCUUGUGCUUCCUGGGUGAGGUGAUGCCCCACCCUGCUUCAGCUCACUCUCUGUGGGCUGCACCCACUCUUUAACCAGUCCCAAUGAGAUGAGCUGUGUACCUCAGUUGGAAAUGCAGAAAUCAUCUGCCUUCUGUGUUGAUCUUGCUGGGAGCUACAGACCAGAGCUGUUCCUAUUCAGCCAUCUUGCCAGCCAAAUAUUUUCUUAAGAAGAUGAAGUUAACAGACUAUCUGACACUGUGUUUCACAAUGUUUAUGGGAGUUUUAGAUAUGUGACAGAGUUUGGAAUUGAAUUGAUGAUAAGUAAAUAUACUACUCAUCUUAUGAGCAAAUAAGAAAAAACAAGCAAACAGCAGUUCCUUCUCACCUGGGUCCUUCUUUCUCCCAUUCCCAGUCAAUAAAAGCUUGUGCAGGAAAUGGAA
rnacentral:lncRNA from 1 species